GGCUGGUCUGAAGGUAGUGAGUUAUCUCAAUUGAUUGUUCACAGUCAGUUACAGAUCUUCUCACUACUGCACUUGACUAGUCUAAA
ensembl:Y_RNA Y_RNA Y RNA